rnacentral:siRNA from 1 species
AGAUUGUCGGCUACCUGAAAUAUU